rnacentral:rRNA from 1 species
UACGUAGGGCGCAAGCGUUGUCCGGAAUUAUUGGGCGUAAAGAGCGUGUAGGCGGCCCGAUUAGUCCGCUGUGAAAGUCCAGGGCUCAACCCUGGAAUGCCGGUGGAUACUGUCGGGCUAGAGUCCGGAAGGGGCGAGUGGAAUUCCGUGGUGUAGCGGUGAAAUGACGCAGAUAUCAGGAGGAACACCAAUGGCGAAGGCGGCGCUCUGGACCGAGACUGACGCUGAGGCGCGAAAGCGUGGGGAGCAAACAGG